rnacentral:lncRNA from 1 species
GUGCACUCUCUGCCCUCAUCCUGGAAUUUCGUUGGCAAUCGGAACUGCCAUCCCCGCCGCGCACCAUGCUGAGCGCUUUCACGUAUGGGCUCCCAUAAUCCCACAACAGCCCUCCGACCGAGGUAUGGUCAUUGCUCCACUUUAAAGAAGAGGAAACGGAGGCACAGAGAAAGGUCACGGGCCUUGCCCAGGAUCUCCCCGUCAGGAAAUGGCCCAGAGCCAGACCAGUGUGAGGCACAGCUCUCAUCACUCAGCCUGGGGACUGGUGAGAAGGACAGUGCUCAGGGCCAAAGGGGCCCUGCAACCCAGCCGGCAGGGAGGUGCACUGGGAAGGUGAGGCGGUGGAGCAGAUGCACUGGGUUGCGUGGAGGUCACGGAGUGGAGACCAAGCCGGCAGCUGUCCGAUCCUCAACCCGCUCCACUGGCAACCAGCGCAGGGACCGUGGCUUGGAGGCGAUCGGCGAGGGGCGCACAUCCAGGGAGCACGAGAAGAGGAUCCAGGACCCCACCCCAAGGCCCAUCCACCCCAGUAAGUGGCAGCGGCCCCUCUAGCCCCACUGCUUCCAAGGCGGCCCGGAAUCUGUCCAUCCAACAGCGGGGCUGGGCGACUCCCCCAUGGCGCCGUGACGGGGCGCCCGG